rnacentral:rRNA from 1 species
CCUACGGGAGGCAGCAGUAGGGAAUAUUGCUCAAUGGGGGAAACCCUGAAGCAGCAAAGCCGCGUGGAGGAUGAAGGUUCUCCGAUUGUAAACUCCUUUUUGUAGAGAAGCUAAUGACGGUAUCUGUCGACUUAGCACCGGCUAACUCCGUGCCAGCAUCCGCUGUAAUCAGGGCGGUGCACGCGUUAAUCCGAAUCAAUCGGGGUAAAGGGCGCGUAGGCGGGAUAGCAAGUCAGAUGGGAAAUACUAUGGCUUAACCAUAGAAGUGCAUUUGAAACUGAUAUUCUAGAGUUGGGGAGAGGUAGGUGGAAUGCUUGGUGUAGCGGUAAAAUGCGUAGAGAUCACGAGGAAUACUCAUUGCGAAGGCGACAUGCUAGAGCCUAACUGACGCUGAUGCGCGAAAGCGUGGGGAGCAAACAGGAUUAGAUACCCGUGUAGUC